GGUUCUAUAGUGUAGCGGUCAUCACAUCGGAUUCUGAACAACCUCAGCUGUUCCGGUAACCCCGGUUCGAUUCCGGGUAGGACCU